rnacentral:rRNA from 1 species
GGUGAACGCUGGCGGCGUGCUUGACACAUGCAAGUCGAACGGUAUGUGGCAACACAUAGAGUGGCGAACGGGUGAGUAACACGUGGGAACGUAUCUUUUUGCAGGGGGAUAACUGACCGAAAGGACAGCUAAUACCGCAUAAGUCCGAGAGGGGAAAGGUGCAAAAGCAUCGGCAGAAGAGCGGCCCGCGGUCCAUCAGCUAGUUGGUGAGGUAAGGGCUUACCAAGGCGACGACGGAUAGCCGGCGUGAGAGCGUGGCCGGCCACAAGGACACUGAGAUACGGGUCCUACUCCUACGGGAGGCAGCAGUGCGGAAUUUUAGAUAAUGGAGGGAACUCUGAUCUAGCGACGCCGCGUGCAGGAAGAAGGUCUUCGGAUUGUAAACUGCUGUGGUAAGGGAAAAUGACUAUGUAGAGUGGAAAGCUACAUAGAGGGAUGGUACCUUACUAGAAAGCCCCGGCUAACUACGUGCCAGCAGCCGCGGUAUCUGUAGUCGU